AGAGUUUGAUCAUGGCUCAGAUUGAACGCUGGCGGCAGGCCUAACACAUGCAAGACGAGCGGAUGAAGGGAGCUUGCUCCUGGAUUCAGCGGCGGACGGGUGAGUAAUGCCUAGGAAUCUGCCUGGUAGUGGGGGAUAACGUCCGGAAACGGGCGCUAAUACCGCAUACGUCCUGAGGGAGAAAGUGGGGGAUCUUCGGACCUCACGCUAUCAGAUGAGCCUAGGUCGGAUUAGCUAGUUGGUGGGGUAAAGGCCUACCAAGGCGACGAUCCGUAACUGGUCUGAGAGGAUGAUCAGUCACACUGGAACUGAGACACGGUCCAGACUCCUACGGGAGGCAGCAGUGGGGAAUAUUGGACAAUGGGCGAAAGCCUGAUCCAGCCAUGCCGCGUGUGUGAAGAAGGUCUUCGGAUUGUAAAGCACUUUAAGUUGGGAGGAAGGGCAGUAAGUUAAUACCUUGCUGUUUUGACGUUACCAACAGAAUAAGCACCGGCUAACUUCGUGCCAGCAGCCGCGGUAAUACGAAGGGUGCAAGCGUUAAUCGGAAUUACUGGGCGUAAAGCGCGCGUAGGUGGUUCAGCAAGUUGGAUGUGAAAUCCCCGGGCUCAACCUGGGAACUGCAUCCAAAACUACUGAGCUAGAGUACGGUAGAGGGUGGUGGAAUUUCCUGUGUAGCGGUGAAAUGCGUAGAUAUAGGAAGGAACACCAGUGGCGAAGGCGACCACCUGGACUGAUACUGACACUGAGGUGCGAAAGCGUGGGGAGCAGACAGGAUUAGAUACCCUGGUAGUCCACGCCGUAAACGAUGUCGACUAGCCGUUGGGAUCCUUGAGAUCUUAGUGGCGCAGCUAACGCGAUAAGUCGACCGCCUGGGGAGUACGGCCGCAAGGUUAAAACUCAAAUGAAUUGACGGGGGCCCGCACAAGCGGUGGAGCAUGUGGUUUAAUUCGAAGCAACGCGAAGAACCUUACCUGGCCUUGACAUGCUGAGAACUUUCCAGAGAUGGAUUGGUGCCUUCGGGAACUCAGACACAGGUGCUGCAUGGCUGUCGUCAGCUCGUGUCGUGAGAUGUUGGGUUAAGUCCCGUAACGAGCGCAACCCUUGUCCUUAGUUACCAGCACCUCGGGUGGGCACUCUAAGGAGACUGCCGGUGACAAACCGGAGGAAGGUGGGGAUGACGUCAAGUCAUCAUGGCCCUUACGGCCAGGGCUACACACGUGCUACAAUGGUCGGUACAAAGGGUUGCCAAGCCGCGAGGUGGAGCUAAUCCCAUAAAACCGAUCGUAGUCCGGAUCGCAGUCUGCAACUCGACUGCGUGAAGUCGGAAUCGCUAGUAAUCGUGAAUCAGAAUGUCACGGUGAAUACGUUCCCGGGCCUUGUACACACCGCCCGUCACACCAUGGGAGUGGGUUGCUCCAGAAGUAGCUAGUCUAACCGCAAGGGGGACGGUUACCACGGAGUGAUUCAUGACUGGGGUGAAGUCGGAACAAGGUA
rnacentral:rRNA from 1 species